AUUGAACGCUGGCGGCAGGCCUAACACAUGCAAGUCGAGCGAGCGGCGGACGGGUGAGUAAUGUAUGGGGACUGCCCGAUAGAGGGGGAUAACUACUGGAAACGGUAGCUAAUACCGCAUACUAUCGGAUAACCCAUAUGGGAUUAGCUAGUUGGUGAGGUAAGGGCUCACCUGGGCGACGAUCCCUAGCUGGUCUGAGAGGAUGAUCGGCCACCCUGGAACUGAGACACGGCCCAGACUCCUACGGAGGCAGCAGUGGGGAAUAUUGCACAAUGGGCGAAAGCCUGAUGCAGCCAUGCCGCGUGGGUGAAGAAGGCCCUAGGGUUGUAAAGUACUGUCAGUCGGGAGGCGUUACCGAAAGAAGAAGCACCGGCUAACUCCGUGCCAGCAGCCGCGGUAAUAC
rnacentral:rRNA from 1 species